rnacentral:rRNA from 1 species
CAGCCGCCGCGGUAAUACGUAGGUGGCAAGCGUUAUCCGGAAUUAUUGGGCGUAAAGAGUGAGCAGGCGGUCUGUUAAGUCUGAAGUCAAAUGCAGUUGCUCAACAACUGUCCGCUUUGGAUACUGGCAGGCUAGAGUGUGGGAGAGGCAAGUGGAAUUCCAUGUGUAGCGGUGAAAUGCGUAGAUAUAUGGAGGAACACCAGUGGCGAAGGCGACUUGCUGGCCCACUACUGACGCUCAGUCACGAAAGCGUAGGGAGCAAAUAGGAUUAGAUACCCUAGUAGUCUACGCCGUAAACGAUGAGUACUAAGUGUUGGGGAAACUCAGUGCUGAAGUUAACACAUUAAGUACUCCGCCUGAGAAGUACGUUCGCAAGAAUAAAACUUAAAGGAAUUGACGGGACCCCGCACAAGCGGUGGAGCAUGUGGUUUAAUUCGACGCAACGCGAAGAACCUUACCAGGUCUUGACAUCCUGCGCAAGGCCCUAGAGAUAGGGAGAUAGUUAUGGCAGAGACAGGUGGUGCAUGGCC